UACGGAGGGUGCAAGCGUUAUCCGGAUUCACUGGGUUUAAAGGGUGCGUAGGUGGGUUGGUAAGUCAGUGGUGAAAUCUCCGUGCUUAACAUGGAAACUGCCAUUGAUACUACUGAUCUUGAAUUUUCGGGAGGUAAGCGGAAUAUGUCAUGUAGCGGUGAAAUGCUUAGAUAUGACAUAGAGCACCAAUUGCGAAGGCAGCUUACUACAGGAAUAUUGACACUGAUGCACGAAAGCGUGGGGAUCAAACAGG
rnacentral:rRNA from 1 species